AGGGUGUAAAACGCUGCAGACUUGGUGUUGGAAGCCCUUUGGGGGCAUACAGUGCCGGAGAGAAGUUGUUAAGUCUGCUACUUGGGGAGUACGUCCGCAAGGAUGAAACUUAAAGGAAUUGGCGGGGGAGCACCGCAACGGGAGGAGCGUGCGGUUUAAUUGGAUUCAACACCGUAAAACUCACCAGGGAAGACUGUUACAUGAAAGCCGAGAUGAAGACUCUGCUAGAUUUUCAGAGAGGUGGUGCAUGGCGUCAGUGAC
rnacentral:rRNA from 1 species